rnacentral:rRNA from 1 species
CUACGGGCGGCAGCAGUAGGGAAUCUUCCGCAAUGGGCGAAAGCCUGACGGAGCAACGCCGCGUGAGUGAUGAAGGUCUUCGGAUCGUAAAACUCUGUUAUUAGGGAAGAACAAAUGUGUAAGUAACUAUGCACGUCUUGACGGUACCUAAUCAGAAAGCCACGGCUAACUACGUGCCAGCAGCCGCGGUAAUACGUAGGUGGCAAGCGUUAUCCGGAAUUAUUGGGCGUAAAGCGCGCGUAGGCGGUUUUUUAAGUCUGAUGUGAAAGCCCACGGCUCAACCGUGGAGGGUCAUUGGAACUGGAAAACUUGAGUGCAGAAGAGGAAAGUGGAAUUCCAUGUGUAGCGGUGAAAUGCGCAGAGAUAUGGAGGAACACCAGUGGCGAAGGCGACUUUCUGGUCUGUAACUGACGCUGAUGUGCGAAAGCGUGGGGAUCAAACAGGAUUAGAUACCCGCGUAGUC